UUGACUCAGAUCAGACAAGUUCAU
rnacentral:rRNA from 1 species